UGGGGAAUAUUGCACAAUGGGCGAAAGCCUGAUGCAGCGACGCCGCGUGAGGGAUGACGGCCUUCGGGUUGUAAACCUCUUUCAGCAGGGAAGAAGCGAAAGUGACGGUACCUGCAGAAGAAGCGCCGGCUAACUACGUGCCAGCAGCCGCGGUAAUACGUAGGGCGCAAGCGUUGUCCGGAAUUAUUGGGCGUAAAGAGCUCGUAGGCGGUUAGUCGCGUCUGCUGUGAAAACUCGAGGCUCAACCUCGGGCUUGCAGUGGGUACGGGCUGACUAGAGUGCGGUAGGGGUGACUGGAAUUCCUGGUGUAGCGGUGGAAUGCGCAGAUAUCAGGAGGAACACCGAUGGCGAAGGCAGGUCACUGGGCCGCAACUGACGCUGAGGAGCGAAAGCAUGGGGAGCGAACAGGAUUAGAUAGCCCUGGUAGUCCAU
rnacentral:rRNA from 1 species